rnacentral:rRNA from 1 species
CGCCAGACUCCUACGGGAGGCAGCAGUGGGGAAUAUUGCACAAUGGGGGAAACCCUGAUGCAGCGACGCCGCGUGAGUGAAGAAGUAUUUCGGUAUGUAAAGCUCUAUCAGCAGGAACGAGACAAGACGGUACCUGACUAAGAAGCCCCGGCUAACUACGUGCCAGCAGCCGCGGUAAUACGUAGGGGGCAAGCGUUAUCCGGAAUCACUGGGUGUAAAGGGAGCGUAGACGGCUGUGCAAGCCUGAAGUGAAGGGCGGGGGCCCAACCCCUGGACUGCUUUGGGAACUGUACGGCUGGAGUGCAGGAGAGGUAAGUGGAAUUCCUAGUGUAGCGGUGAAAUGCGUAGAUAUUAGGAGGAACACCAGUGGCGAAGGCGGCUUACUGGACUGUAACUGACGUUGAGGCUCGAAAGCGUGGGGAGCAAACAGGAUUAGAUACCCCCGUAA